rnacentral:rRNA from 2 species
CUACGGGAGGCAGCAGUAGGGAAUCUUCCGCAAUGGACGAAAGUCUGACGGAGCAACGCCGCGUGAGUGAUGAAGGUUUUCGGAUCGUAAAACUCUGUUGUUAGGGAAGAACAAGUACGAGAGUAACUGCUCGUACCUUGACGGUACCUAACCAGAAAGCCACGGCUAACUACGUGCCAGCAGCCGCGGUAAUACGUAGGUGGCAAGCGUUGUCCGGAAUUAUUGGGCGUAAAGCGCGCGCAGGCGGUCCUUUAAGUCUGAUGUGAAAGCCCACGGCUCAACCGUGGAGGGUCAUUGGAAACUGGGGGACUUGAGUGCAGAAGAGAAGAGUGGAAUUCCACGUGUAGCGGUGAAAUGCGUAGAGAUGUGGAGGAACACCAGUGGCGAAGGCGACUCUUUGGUCUGUAACUGACGCUGAGGCGCGAAAGCGUGGGGAGCAAACAGGAUUAGAUACCCUGGUAGUCCACGCCGUAAACGAUGAGUGCUAAGUGUUAGAGGGUUUCCGCC